UAGGGAAUAUUGGACAAUGGGGGGAACCCUGAUCCAGCCAUGCCGCGUGGAGGAAGACUGCCCUCUGGGUUGUAAACUCCUUUUAUAUGGGAAGAACCGUCCUCAUUGAUGAGUGACCUGACGGUACCAUAGGAAUAAGCACCGGCUAACUCCGUGCCAGCAGCCGCGGUAAUACGGAGGGUGCAAGCGUUAUCCGGAUUCACUGGGUUUAAAGGGUGCGUAGGCGGAUAUGUAAGUCAGUGGUGAAAUCAACGGGCUCAACCUGUUAACUGCCAUUGAUACUGUGUAUCUUGAAUAUGAGAGAGGUAGUCGGAAUGUUGUAUGUAGCGGUGAAAUGCUUAGAUAUGCUACGGAACACCGAUUGCGAAGGCAGCUUACUAUUUCGUAAUUGACGCUGAGGCACGAAAGCGUGGGUAGCGAACA
rnacentral:rRNA from 1 species